rnacentral:tRNA from 1 species
GUUAAGGUGGCAGAGCUCGGUUACUGCAAAAGACCUAAGCUCUUUCUACGGGGGUUCAAAUCCUCUCCUUAACU